UGAGGUAGUAGGUUGUAUAGCC
rnacentral:miRNA from 1 species